AGCCUCAUUCCAGAUGUGAAUAAGCACAGUUGAGCAUCGUGUUCAGAAUUGCAAAUUGGCUAAAUUGAGACGCAGGUUAUGUUUCCAUCACAGUAAAUUUAUUGCCGUGGUGAGUGAGUCCUGUAACAGAU